AUGAUUUCUAAGAGUCUCAGAGACCUAGGAUCCACAAAAUCAAAACAACAAAACCAAGCCUUUGUGCACAUCUGUGGUUGUGACCAGUUGGAGAGACAUUAGGAGAUGAGAUACUAUGUUCACUCCUCACAGCUGUACCAGGGACCUGAGAUAUUCCGUCACUAUUCUAUGAAUGGGGAAACUGAGGCACAGAGAGGUUAGAGAUAUGCCUGAAGCCACACAGCUUGCAAGUGGUGGAUCUGGGAUUUGAACUUGUCGAUCUGGCUGCAGAGCUGAGCUCUUGGAGACUAGGUUUUACUGCCUAGUAGCAUGUAAGCCUGGAACUGCCGGCAGUCAUUUUGUAAGUUUGCCGAGUGAACCUCAAUGAGCAUGAAGCAGAGAGGAAAGCAGUACUAAGAGAUGCAAAAGAGUCUGUGUUCCAGCAAUGGGAUCUGAAGUCCUGGAUCAAACCUUACCUGGAGACAAGAUUUACCCAUCAGACAUGCCAGUUAUAAGACCCAAAUUUACCCUUUUUGGGGGAUUGAGUUUGAAUGAGUAUUUUUGUUUGUUUGUUUUGGCAUCAGAAAGACUCCUGAUUAAUACACAGUGUGACGCUGACCAAGAUGCUUCCUUUCUCUAGGACUCAAUUUUCUUAUCUGUAAAGUAAAGGGUUCAUCAACAUUCUUUGGUUGAAUCUUACCUGAAACAUUUUGUGAGCCUUCACCAAUCUCAUCUAAGCCUUUGUUUCCAUAGAACAAAGCCCUUUAAGAAAGGAGGGGAAAGUGUCAUGGAGUCUUACUGUCCUGAGUGCAAAUAUGGUCUCUGUAUUGUCCUUAUCUGUUCAUUUUCUGCCUCUCAGUACUAGAAUGAAAACUCUGGAAGAAGAAGGAAUUUUGUCUGAUUUUCUUACUGCUGUAUCCUCAGUAUUUUGAACUGUUUCUAACUCAGAGUACAAUCUCAAAAUUUUUUUUGAUUUUCAUAUAUCUGUAUAUAUAUUUGUUAAAUGAGUGAAGAAAUCCUUAUAUGUCUUUAUGGAUAACAAGCUGGCUUGGGCAUGGUUUUCAGUUAUGGGUCCUUCCUUUUGUGCGGGAGUGGUUAUGGAUGGUAUUUGUUCCUCUCUGCUUCAUAAUUCUCUCAUCCAUUUUUGACUUAAUGGACAGAAACAAUAGAUGAAUAAAAUGGAAUCAUCUCUGAACAAAACACAGGGUUUUAAUGCUUCUUAAAUCCUGUAACAUAUUAUCUCUUCUAAACUCACAGUAAGCAGUUAAGUUCUUAUGAUGGAUGAAUUUCAGUUUCAAAUGAUAUAAGAGAGGACUGUGUCUUACUUUCCUUCCUAUUUUACUUAUAUUUCAAUAUCUUAGUAGAGCUAUUAUGCGAAAUUGAUCCCCCAGCAUUAGGAAACAGGAUGUUGCUGACACUGUUAUAUGCUAUUAUAUAAUGUACUAUUAUUUGUCAUUUUUGUCAUGACAUCCAGCCCAAGCUUCUCUCUUGCAAAUAAACCUCAUUUUUGUUUUGGGUGG
rnacentral:lncRNA from 1 species